UACGGGGGGGGCGAGCGUUGUUCGGAAUUACUGGGCGUAAAGGGUUUGUAGGUGGUCUGCUAAGUCAGACGUGAAAUCCCUCAGCUUAACUGGGGAACUGCGUCUGAUACUGGCGGACUUGAGGACAGGAGAGGAACGCGGAAUUCCAGGUGUAGCGGUGAAAUGCGUAGAUAUCUGGAGGAACACCGGUGGCGAAGGCGGCGUUCUGGACUGUUUCUGACACUGAAAACGAAAGCCAGGGGAGCAAACGGG
rnacentral:rRNA from 1 species